AUGGCCUACUUGAUGAAUAUGUAUAACAUGCCCUUUGCUCCAUUUAUUGGCAUGAACAGGCAUGGACAGUCUUUCAUGCUGCGGUGUGGCUUCUUGCGGCAAGAGCUUGAGACCAGCUUUGAUUGGUUGUUUGGGGACUUUCUUGAAGCGAUGCAUGGCAUUGCACCGCUCAACAUCAUAACUAACCAAGAUCAGGCGAUGAAAAACUCUAUAGCAAACAUGUUCCACACGCAGUUCACCGUAGUUGCCGCUGGCAUAUCAUCAAGAAAGCCCAAGAGAAGUUGGGUGCUUACUUGGUUAGGCAUCCUGAGCUAG
rnacentral:rRNA from 1 species